GGUGAAUUGUGCAACAAUUACGACAUUAUGUCAGUGCAUUUCCAAUUUACUCAAACAGAAAGCGAUUACAAUUUUGUGUUGAUUUUAAGAAAGUAGAAACAAAUUUGUGUGUUUAAUCACACAUUCACACAUCAUGCCUGCUUUCUACAGUCUGGUAUUUGGUAAUAGGACAACACCGCUCAUUAACGACAUUCGCAUUUCGCAGUUCGGAUUUCGGAAGGUCGUCUGCACUCUUCAGGACUGCAAAAGCUGUUUUUGUAAGGUUUAGGUGUCACACAGUCACACUCACAGCAACACAAACAGCAUUGACGGUAAAAAUCAUCCUACCACUAGGCUCCAAUGAAACAAAUCUAAGCUUUCAAGUGCAGUGUGACUGCCAAAGUUACCUCUGCCCAUGGAGACGCCAGCAAUGUAGAACAAAUACUUAAAGCUAUACCAACACUCAUCUAUAUGUGGACUGCCAUCAGGACGUUUGCCUGAAACAAGAAGAAUUCCAAUCUCCAGUCUACAUGGUGAUUGGCGUGGAUUACAGUUCCACUAUCGGCAACAACAACAAAAUCUGUUGAAGAAAAGACACUGAGAAGAACGUCAAUGCUGGUGUGGAAUCGUCGAUACAGGCAACCCAGUUUUGCUUACGUGUUUAAGAUUCAACGGGAAAAAAACCGGAUAUUCGUUCAACAUCUUCUACAGACAUCCCUUACAAUGUGAAUAACAAUAUUAUUGACGAAAUUCCUUUUUUCUCAUUUCAGACUCUGUAAUCUUUGAUUACAGCCGACCGCCUUCCAGGGUUCCGCAGGGUUCCAGGGUUUUCUUAUCAAUAAUGCAGGAGUAUUGUAUUCCAUCCUCCUAAAGAAACUGCAGAUAAAUUUGAUGUCACCUUUCAGACCAAUUAUUUGGGGCAUUUUCUUUUGAUUGAAUUACUGCUUCCAGUAUUAUCGGAUCAAAGCCGCGUAAUAUUUUUGUCAUCGGCUGCACAUUUCUUAACUAUAGAUCGAUGGUUAGACUUGAAGAGUGCAUGUAUUUUCGACAAAGGAGCACCGGAACAUCAGCAAGAUUUCAGAGUUACGCUAAAGCAAAGCUAUGCUUAUAUUGUUGUAUAGUAUGACUUUUGCACGUUCCAAGGAUAGAGGCAUUCGUGUUUAUAGUGUAGAUCCUGGAUCAGUGGAGACACCGAUAUCGUCAUUUUCCUUUCUUGUUAACCCGAUUUUGAAAGCAAUCCAGAAACCGAUUCGCUUUAUUGUAGUUCACAGUCCAUUCCAAGGAGCACAGACUGUUCUUCACUGCGCCUUAUCUCCCAAACUAGUACGUUUCAAACCGGCUUAAUUUUUUAUAGGGACCUGGAAACCAAGACCCCUUCCAAUCUAUCACAAGACAUUCAACUAUCGUCCCAACUGUACGAUUGCAGUCGAGUUUGGGCAGGUUUGUCUGAUUUUGAAAAGAGUAAGUCUGUCUAGUUUCAACUACUCUACAUGGCCGCAAAAUGACGUUGAAUGGAUCGAAAGAGUCAAAUUGAUGGGAAAAUCUCAACCUGGCACAGAAGAAGGAAACCCAAUAUCGAUAAAAAACGAAUUCGGAUUCUUGACUUGUGUUUACAGCUGAUUGACAAGGGCGAUGUGAGCCUAUUCCGCGCCUUAAUUUCACAGGCAUCAACUAUUCGGUGUUGAGAAUUCUUGGGGUAUGGCAACACAAAUCUUUAAUUUGUUUGUUUCUUCUUUUCUUCUGUGUGUUGGUUUUCUUUAGUGAUUUCUUGUACAAGGUUUCUUAGAUGUUUUCUUCAGAGACGUAGUCUUAACCUGACAAGGGGAGAGAAGGCCUGGCCUCCUCAGCCUGGCCUGGCAGCCAAUAAAAAUCCUUUUCUAUUAA